AAGGGCGGCCUAUAAAUAAUAAUAAAACUCUAAAAACUCUAAACAAAUGUGGAGAAUGAGGAAAUUUGGCUUAAGAACAGCACAUGUGAGAAGAACUUGGGUGUACUAGUGGAUUGCAAGCUCAACAUGGCCCAACAGUGUAACACAGCUACAAAGAACACCACUAAAAUCUUGAAGAGGCCCAUAAAGCCCAGAUUGCGGGACGUAAUUAUCUCUCUUUAGACUGCCUUGAAAUAUUGUGUUCAAUCCUGAACACCCCACUUUAAAAGGGAUAUUGAUAAGUCUAGAGAAGGUCUACCAAGAUGGUGAAAGAACUGAAAACCAAGUCCUAAGAGCAUUGGUUAAAAGAUCUUGGUGUGUUUGGCUAGCAAAGGAGAGAGCUGAAUGGGAACAUGACAACUAUAUUUAAACACCCAAAGGUUACCACAUUGUAGAGCAGGGGUAUCACACUCCUGUCAUCAUGGUGGCUUUCCCCCCCUGCGUUAAACCAGGUGGGGGCAGGGUCAGCACGUGACACAUCCGACUCGCAAGCUGUGAGUUUGACACCCCUGUUGUAGAGGUUUAGGACUUAUUCUUACUUGCUCCAGAGCAUAGGUUAUUGUAUGGUGUACUUUCUCCCUUUAUUGGAGGUUUUCAAAGAGAAGCUAGAUAGUCAUCUAACAAGGAUGGUACAUUGAAGCUUCAGUAAGCAGGCAGUUGGACCUGAUGGCCUGUUACAUAUCUUCCAACUUUAUAAUUCAAUGAAAUCCCUAUAUGUAUAGACUAUGUGCAUAGUCUAUCUUACAACCUGCACAUUCAAAGUAACAUAAUAAAAUCAUAUUAUGGUAAAGUAGCAUUUAAAAUAAUAUUUAAAAUAAUAUCUAUGAAAAAAAUAUUUCCCUGAAAGAUAUUGUCAUCCAGUGGUUGUCUGGAGUUUUUCUGCCAAAAUAUGGCAGACUUCGUUUAGCAUGCUCUUUUCCUGAAGUAAUAUUAGAGCCACAGAAAAUUAAACUCUGUAUUUAUUAUUUAGUCGGUUUCACAUUGUUUCUUAAGUUUCUUAUUUUUCUAAGAUGGUAGAUUUGUUUCAUAUUAAGAUAAUCCUUUAAGUAACUAAAUUCUUUGCUCUUAUGGUGGCUGAUUAAUGCUGUUCUGCUGGGGUGAUUUUGCUGUUUUACUUUGCAGCCAAAUAAAGUUUGGCAUUCUCAUAGAUUUCAAUUCUGCUAACAGAACCUGCUACCAAUUUCUCCUUCUUUAAUUGCCUUGUUGUAGCUGUCUACCACAAGAUCUGCAAAUCUUCGAUGCCUGGAGAACCCAUACCUUGAAGUAGAAUUUCUGAACAGUGUUUGUUUAUCCUAAGGUCAAUAAGUUACAAAGUAUCCAGGAUACAAAGCCUGAAGACGCAAAACUACCAAAAUGAAAAUGAAAAAGCAAAUGAAAGAAGUGCUAUUAAAGCUCAAUGUUCUUUUGAGA